rnacentral:tRNA from 1 species
UGUCCUGUGUCUUAGUUGGUUAAAUAGCUGGACUAGCGAUUUGAAGUUGUGGGUUCAAAUCCCACCAAAACAA